rnacentral:rRNA from 1 species
UAAAUAGAUACCCUGGUAGUCCACGCCGUAAACGAUGUCGACUUGGAGGUUGUUCCCUUGAGGAGUGGCUUCCGGAGCUAACGCGUUAAGUCGACCGCCUGGGGAGUACGGCCGCAAGGUUAAAACUCAAAUGAAUUGACGGGGGCCCGCACAAGCGGUGGAGCAUGUGGUUUAAUUCGAUGCAACGCGAAGAACCUUACCUACUCUUGACAUCCACGGAACUUAGCAGAGAUGCUUUGGUGCCUUCGGGAACCGUGAGACAGGUGCUGCAUGGCUGUCGUCAGCUCGUGUUGUGAAAUGUUGGGUUAAGUCCCGCAACGAGCGCAACCCUUAUCCUUUGUUGCCAGCGGUCCGGCCGGGAACUCAAAGGAGACUGCCAGUGAUAAACUGGAGGAAGGUGGGGAUGACGUCAAGUCAUCAUGGCCCUUACGAGUAGGGCUACACACGUGCUACAAUGGCGCAUACAAAAGAGAAGCGACCUCGCGAGAGCAAGCGGACCUCAUAAAAGUGCGUCGUAGUCCGGAUUGGAGUCUGC